CUAUGGCCAUAUCAUGCUGAAACACCAUUUCCUAUACAAUCAAUGAAAUUAAGCAAUGUUGAACCUGGUCAGUACCUAGAUGGGUGACUGCUUUGGAAUACCAGGUGUUGUAAG